UAUUGUAAGUUAUAAACGCUUCGCUCAAUAUCUCUUCGUGUAAUAGUGGAGUGCAGUCUUUCGACUGUGGAGUUGCUCGACGACUGUUGAAAGGACGUUGUAUGCAGUUCGAGUUCGUACUGCCUACAAAAAUCCUUAAAGAGGUUCGACGAGAACUCAACUCCCUGAUCGCAAAUUACUUUUUUUGGUAUUCCGAACAGGGCCAUAAAGUUCUUCAUUGCUUUGACAAUGUUGAUACUCUCCUUGGCUGGAAUAGUUUGUAAGGUAGCUUGUUGUUGAUCUCGGCCUAAAAGUAGGCACUUAAUUAGGUCGUUCUUAAGGUCGGGAAAAAUGUUAAUUAGACCGGAAGCGGUAGCCACUGGGCAUUAAUUGAGUUUAAACCAGCGAGCAAGAAAGUGCGUCCGAGCUAUCCAAAAAUAAAAUAUAGUGAUCUCUCAAAAAAUUACAAAAAAAAAGAGAAAUUGACAAUUCAACCAAAACUCACAAAUUUCGAUCGAGAAGAAAACCCAGUGAAUCGGAAAAUUUAUAUUUCGUUAACUUUAGUGCCAACCCCUAGAGGGUGGCACCUAGGAGAAUAUUAUAUUCCAAAAAAUAACCAUUGAGGCCAGUGAGGGAAGCAUAAAUUGCCGACCAGGAGGUCUAUUUCUGGAUUUCAUCAGUCAGCAGCGCCACCGUUAAGCGCAAAAACCUUAUUAAAUUGAAUUUACCAUCGUUACAUUAUCUACAUCUAUAGAUAUUUUACCUUACAGCGCUUUACCGCUUUACACUUGACCCACUGCUUGUUAAGCAGAUCGGCAACCAGACAAGCAGAUCAUCAAAAGUUAUUCCGAUCGGAAAAAUAAAUUCCGCCUUAUGUUAGGAAACUAA